UUUAUAUUCAAUCCUGGUUCUGCCAUUUACAGGCUACAAAACCUUGGGAAAGUUGUUCAAUUCUCUGACUCUCAGCUUGUUUCCAAAGCUUUGACACUGACUGCUGGAUAAAGAUGGCAGAUUGAAUACCUGCAUCUAAUUCUGACCUCUCCUGAAGCCCUACCAAACCACAGUAAAGAGAGAACAGGAGGGAACAGGAGAGCGAACAAGGAGGUUCUGGAAGUUGGUAAACUGAUGAGAAACAAAUGUGGCAGUGCAGAAAGCUGAGCUUAAUGAGAUUUCCAUCACAGCACGCGCAAACAGCUCAAGAAGGCACUCCUGGAAGUGAAAGUAAAGCAAUUGGCUCUGCAGUUUCCCCAACCCCACUCCACCACUGCCUCUCCCCAGCCCCAUCAGGAGACUGGAGAUUCAGUCUGUGGAGAAAGCAGAGAGUCUCAGGACUGAGAACAUUAGACACAACUGAAGCCUCACCAGAAGCCGAGCAUAUGCCAGCGCCAAGCCCUUUGGCUUUCCAGCCUCUGUAACUGUG